CCUACGGGGGGCUGCAGUGGGGAAUAUUGGACAAUGGGGGGAACCCUGAUCCAGCCAUGCCGCGUGUGUGAAGAAGGCCCUCGGGUUGUAAAGCACUUUCAGUGAGGAAGAACGCCUGGUGGUUAAUACCCAUCAGGAAAGACAUCACUCACAGAAGAAGCACCGGCUAACUCCGUGCCAGCAGCCGCGGUAAUACGGAGGGUGCGAGCGUUAAUCGGAAUUACUGGGCGUAAAGCGCGCGUAGGUGGCUUGAUAAGCCGGUUGUGAAAGCCCCGGGCUCAACCUGGGAACGGCAUCCGGAACUGUCAAGCUAGAGUGCAGGAGAGGAAGGUAGAAUUCCCGGUGUAGCGGUGAAAUGCGUAGAGAUCGGGAGGAAUACCAGUGGCGAAGGCGGCCUUCUGGACUGACACUGACACUGAGGUGCGAAAGCGUGGGUAGCAAACAGGAUUAGAUACACCAGUAGUC
rnacentral:rRNA from 1 species